UACGAGGGGUGCGAGCGUUGCUCGGAAUUAUUGGGCGUAAAGGGUAGGUAGGUGGUCUUAUUUGUCUGGGGUGAAAGCCUUGAGCUUAACUCAAGAAGUGCCCCAGAAACGGUAAGACUAGAGUCCUGGAGAGGGUCGUGGAAUUCCCGGUGUAGCGGUGAAAUGCGUAGAGAUCGGGAGGAACACCAGAGGCGAAGGCGGCGACCUGGACAGGCACUGACACUAAACUACGAAAGCGUGGGGAGCAAACAGG
rnacentral:rRNA from 1 species